rnacentral:rRNA from 1 species
CGUAGCCGCGGUAAUACGAAGGGGGCUAGCGUUGUUCGGAUUUACUGGGCGUAAAGCGCACGUAGGCGGACUUUUAAGUCAGGGGUGAAAUCCCGGGGCUCAACCCCGGAACUGCCUUUGAUACUGGAAGUCUUGAGUAUGGUAGAGGUGAGUGGAAUUCCGAGUGUAGAGGUGAAAUUCGUAGAUAUUCGGAGGAACACCAGUGGCGAAGGCGGCUCACUGGACCAUUACUGACGCUGAGGUGCGAAAGCGUGGGGAGCAAACAGGAUUAGAUACCCCCGUAGUCCCUGUCUCUUAUACA